rnacentral:ncRNA from 1 species
GCCCAGUGCUCUGAACGUCAAAGUAAAGAAAUUCAACCAAGCACGAGUAAACGGC